rnacentral:tRNA from 1 species
ACUUUUAAAGGAUGGAAGUAAUCCAUUGGUCUUAGGAACCAAAAAAU